rnacentral:rRNA from 1 species
UACGGAGGGGGCUAGCGUUGUUCGGAAUUACUGGGCGUAAAGGGCGCGUAGGCGGGCGCUCAAGUCAGGGGUGAAAGGCCUGGGCUCAACCUGGGAAUUGCCUUUGAAACUGAUUGUCUAGAGUCCGGAAGAGGAUGGCGGAAUUCCCAGUGUAGAGGUGAAAUUCGUCGAUAUUGGGAAGAACACCAGUGGCGAAGGCGGCCAUCUGGUCCGGUACUGACGCUGAGGCGCGAAAGCGUGGGGAGCAAACAGG